rnacentral:lncRNA from 1 species
UCCGGAUCAUCAGGAGGGAAGGGGAGAGACUCUGCUCUCUGAUGCUGGGAGGGAAGCAUACUUUAAUGGUUGGAGCGGAAGUGUAGAAGCUGCAUUCUCCUCUCACUUAAGCCAGGGUUCUACACGAAAAGAUGGCAGAUUUCCAAAAUGACAAACUUCAGGCUACUUUCUUACCUUCCUGACCUGACACAGAAGCUGGCAGCCAGCUGGUUGGGCUUUCUCCCCACCCCAACCUUGUAGCCACUCCAUUCCCCACAGAUGGUAGACUGGUUGGACAAAUUCAGUCUGGAUCAGGGUAUGUUGACCCCAAAGCUGUGU